rnacentral:rRNA from 1 species
AUUGAACGCUGGCGGCAGGCCUAACACAUGCAAGUCGAGCGGAUGAAGGGAGCUUGCUCCUGGAUUCAGCGGCGGACGGGUGAGUAAUGCCUAGGAAUCUGCCUGGUAGUGGGGGAUAACGUCCGGAAACGGGCGCUAAUACCGCAUACGUCCUGAGGGAGAAAGUGGGGGAUCUUCGGACCUCACGCUAUCAGAUGAGCCUAGGUCGGAUUAGCUAGUUGGUGGGGUAAAGGCCUACCAAGGCGACGAUCCGUAACUGGUCUGAGAGGAUGAUCAGUCACACUGGAACUGAGACACGGUCCAGACUCCUACGGGAGGCAACUGUGGAGAAUAUUGGACAAUGGGCGAAAGCCUGAUCCAGCCAUGCCGCGUGUGUGAAGAAGGUCUUCGGAUUGUAAAGCACUUUAAGUUGGGAGGAAGGGCAGUAAGUUAAUACCUUGCUGUUUUGACGUUACCAACAGAAUAAGCACCGGCUAACUUCG